UACGUAGGGUGCUAGCGUUGCUCGGAAUUACUGGGCGUAAAGCGCACGUAGGCGGAUUGGAAAGUCAGAGGUGAAAUCCCAGAGCUCAACUUUGGAACUGCCUUUGAAACUCCCAGUCUUGAGGUCGAGAGAGGUGAGUGGAAUUCCGAGUGUAGAGGUGAAAUUCGUAGAUAUUCGGAAGAACACCAGUGGCGAAGGCGACUAACUGGACAAGUACUGACGCUGAGGCACGAAAGCGUGGGGAGCAAACAGG
rnacentral:rRNA from 1 species